AUACGGAGGGUGCAAGCGUUAAUCGGAAUUACUGGGCGUAAAGCGCGCGUAGGCGGCUUGGUAAGUCGGAUGUGAAAGCCCCGGGCUCAACUUGGGAAUUGCAUUCGAAACUGCCGAGCUAGAGUAUGGGAGAGGGAAGUGGAAUUUCCGGUGUAGCGGUGGAAUGCAUAGAUAUCGGAAGGAACACCAGUGGCGAAGGCGGCUUCCUGGACUUUUACUGACACUGAGGCACGAAAGCGUGGGGAGCAAACAGGAUUAGAAACCCCAGUAGUCC
rnacentral:rRNA from 1 species